CAGUAGCCGCGGUAACACGAAGGGGGCUAGCGUUGUUCGGAAUUACUGGGCGUAAAGCGCACGUAGGCGGACAUUUAAGUCAGGGGUGAAAUCCCGGGGCUCAACCCCGGAACUGCCUUUGAUACUGGGUGUCUAGAGUAUGGAAGAGGUGAGUGGAAUUCCGAGUGUAGAGGUGAAAUUCGUAGAUAUUCGGAGGAACACCAGUGGCGAAGGCGGCUCACUGGUCCAUUACUGACGCUGAGGUGCGAAAGCGUGGGGAGCAAACAGGAUUAGAUACCCGCGUAGUCCCUGUCUCUUAUAC
rnacentral:rRNA from 1 species